UACGUAGGGGGCAAGCGUUGUCCGGAUUCAUUGGGCGUAAAGAGCGUGUAGGCGGCCAGGUAGGUCUGCUGUGAAAACUCGAGGCUCAACCUCGAGACGCCGGUGGAAACCGUAAAGCUAGAGUCCGGAAGAGGAGAGUGGAAUUCCUGGUGUAGCGGUGAAAUGCGCAGAUAUCAGGAAGAACACCCGUGGCGAAGGCGGCUCUCUGGGACGGUACUGACGCUGAGACGCGAAAGCGUGGGGAGCGAACAGG
rnacentral:rRNA from 1 species